CGCGUGAGGAACCUGCCUUUCAGAGGGGGACAACAGCUGGAAACGGCUGCUAAUACCGCAUAACAUAUAGGUAUCGCAUGGUGCCUAUAUCAAAGAUUUAUCGCUGAAAGAUGGCCUCGCGUCUGAUUAGCUAGUUGGUAGGGUAACGGCAUACCAAGGCGACGAUCAGUAGCCGGACUGAGAGGUUGGCCGGCCACAUUGGGACUGAGAUACGGCCCAGACUCCUACGGAAGGCAGCAG
rnacentral:rRNA from 1 species